AUGAAGUUUUAUUCUUGCUUGUUAUAUUUAUUUUGAUAUUAUUGAUAUAUGUAUAUUUUUGUGAAAUUGUUUUUGUGAAAUCUUAAUGGUAUUACAGGUAAUAUUUAAUUCGCAGUAUUUGAAAUUAUAAAUUUAGGAAAUUUUGAUUUAGUAAUUUUCUUAAAUAUUGAUUAAAUAUGUGCCAGCAGUCGCGGUUAUACAUAGGAUAUAAGUAAAUAUUGUUAGUUUAGGUAGUUAAUUUGUUUUAUUUGGGAUUAAAAGAUUUAUUGUGAGGUGGAAUAUUUAAUUUGUAUUAGGUUUAAUUUAAAUAUGUUGAAACUAUGAAAUCUGUUUAUUAGACUAGGAUUAGAUACCCUAUUAUUUUUGAUUUAAAAUUUAAUUAAAACUUGAGUAGUAAUAGUUAUGGUCUUGAAACUUAAAGAAUUUGGCGGUAUUUUAGUCUUUUUAGAGGAAUCUGUUCCUUUAUUCGAUAGUCCGCGUUGGAUCUUACUUAAUUUUUUAAUUUGUAUACCGCCGUUGUUGAUGAUCUUUGUAGAGAUAAUUUCUUGAAUAUUUUUGGAUAUAUUUUCAGGUCAAGGUGCAGUUUAUAAUUAAGUGGAAAUGGAUUACAUUAUUUUUAUAUAUACGGAUUAUUGAUUUUGAUAUUAAUAUAAAGGUGGAUUUAAAAGUAAUUUUGUUAAGAAUGUUAAUGUGAUUAUAGCUCUAAGAUAUGUACACAUCGCCCGUCGCUCUCAUUAUUUUAAGAUGAGACAAGUCGUAACAUAGUAGAUGUACCGGAAGGUGUAGCUAGAUUGAU
rnacentral:ncRNA from 1 species